rnacentral:lncRNA from 1 species
UUGGAAAUGGAUGUGAUAGCUGCACUUAAUUUUUACCCUAUUAGCAGCUAGGAACUGUAUGUCACGUGGGGGGGGGAAGAAAAGACUUCAGGGGCUUUCCAGCUGUUGAAAACAGAUGGCUGUAAACAAAAGACUUAGGAGCUAAUACUUAUAUUUCCAAAAGCCUUUGCUUUGUUCAGGUCACAGCUCUGCUGCUGCAGUGGGGGGAGAGAUUGCAAAGUGCAGCUCGUUCCCAGUCGGUGCUAAUCUUGGAGAUGAAGAGCACCUUUGUCUGAAGAGUGCCACCAGUGCUGUUUGGGGUGACCCACUGAGGUAUUUGUGUGCACAGGAAGACAGAAGUUUGCAUUAAGUGUGCAUUUAGCUUGUAAGCUGCCUGACCACCUCACCCUGUGAAACCAAUGUAUACCUUUGUUGCUGAGUCUCUGUGCUCACUGCAAGCGUUUCGUGAUGUGUUUUAAGCUGAGGAGUCAUCCCGGCCCACCAGCUGCAAAAUGCCUGGCCGAG